UUAAGCGACUAAGCGUACACGGUGGAUGCCCUGGCAGUCAGAGGCGAUGAAGGACGUGCUAAUCUGCGAUAAGCGUCGGUAAGGUGAUAUGAACCGUUAUAACCGGCGAUUUCCGAAUGGGGAAACCCAGUGUGAUUCGUCACACUAUCAUUAACUGAAUCCAUAGGUUAAUGAGGCGAACCGGGGGAACUGAAACAUCUAAGUACCCCGAGGAAAAGAAAUCAACCGAGAUUCCCCCAGUAGCGGCGAGCGAACGGGGAGCAGCCCAGAGCCUGAAUCAGUAUGUGUGUUAGUGGAAGCGUCUGGAAAGGCGCGCGAUACAGGGUGACAGCCCCGUACACAAAAAUGCACAUGCUGUGAGCUCGAUGAGUAGGGCGGGACACGUGGUAUCCUGUCUGAAUAUGGGGGGACCAUCCUCCAAGGCUAAAUACUCCUGACUGACCGAUAGUGAACCAGUACCGUGAGGGAAAGGCGAAAAGAACCCCGGCGAGGGGAGUGAAAAAGAACCUGAAACCGUGUACGUACAAGCAGUGGGAGCACAGAGCAAUCUGUGUGACUGCGUACCUUUUGUAUAAUGGGUCAGCGACUUAUAUUCUGUAGCAAGGUUAACCGAAUAGGGGAGCCGAAGGGAAACCGAGUCUUAACUGGGCGUUAAGUUGCAGGGUAUAGACCCGAAACCCGGUGAUCUAGCCAUGGGCAGGUUGAAGGUUGGGUAACACUAACUGGAGGACCGAACCGACUAAUGUUGAAAAAUUAGCGGAUGACUUGUGGCUGGGGGUGAAAGGCCAAUCAAACCGGGAGAUAGCUGGUUCUCCCCGAAAGCUAUUUAGGUAGCGCCUCGUGAAUUCAUCUCCGGGGGUAGAGCACUGUUUCGGCAAGGGGGUCAUCCCGACUUACCAACCCGAUGCAAACUGCGAAUACCGGAGAAUGUUAUCACGGGAGACACACGGCGGGUGCUAACGUCCGUCGUGAAGAGGGAAACAACCCAGACCGCCAGCUAAGGUCCCAAAGUCAUGGUUAAGUGGGAAACGAUGUGGGAAGGCCCAGACAGCCAGGAUGUUGGCUUAGAAGCAGCCAUCAUUUAAAGAAAGCGUAAUAGCUCACUGGUCGAGUCGGCCUGCGCGGAAGAUGUAACGGGGCUAAACCAUGCACCGAAGCUGCGGCAGCGACGCUUAUGCGUUGUUGGGUAGGGGAGCGUUCUGUAAGCCUGUGAAGGUGUGCUGUGAGGCAUGCUGGAGGUAUCAGAAGUGCGAAUGCUGACAUAAGUAACGAUAAAGCGGGUGAAAAGCCCGCUCGCCGGAAGACCAAGGGUUCCUGUCCAACGUUAAUCGGGGCAGGGUGAGUCGACCCCUAAGGCGAGGCCGAAAGGCGUAGUCGAUGGGAAACAGGUUAAUAUUCCUGUACUUGGUGUUACUGCGAAGGGGGGACGGAGAAGGCUAUGUUGGCCGGGCGACGGUUGUCCCGGUUUAAGCGUGUAGGCUGGUUUUCCAGGCAAAUCCGGAAAAUCAAGGCUGAGGCGUGAUGACGAGGCACUACGGUGCUGAAGCAACAAAUGCCCUGCUUCCAGGAAAAGCCUCUAAGCAUCAGGUAACAUCAAAUCGUACCCCAAACCGACACAGGUGGUCAGGUAGAGAAUACCAAGGCGCUUGAGAGAACUCGGGUGAAGGAACUAGGCAAAAUGGUGCCGUAACUUCGGGAGAAGGCACGCUGAUAUGUAGGUGAAGUCCCUCGCGGAUGGAGCUGAAAUCAGUCGAAGAUACCAGCUGGCUGCAACUGUUUAUUAAAAACACAGCACUGUGCAAACACGAAAGUGGACGUAUACGGUGUGACGCCUGCCCGGUGCCGGAAGGUUAAUUGAUGGGGUUAGCGCAAGCGAAGCUCUUGAUCGAAGCCCCGGUAAACGGCGGCCGUAACUAUAACGGUCCUAAGGUAGCGAAAUUCCUUGUCGGGUAAGUUCCGACCUGCACGAAUGGCGUAAUGAUGGCCAGGCUGUCUCCACCCGAGACUCAGUGAAAUUGAACUCGCUGUGAAGAUGCAGUGUACCCGCGGCAAGACGGAAAGACCCCGUGAACCUUUACUAUAGCUUGACACUGAACAUUGAGCCUUGAUGUGUAGGAUAGGUGGGAGGCUUUGAAGUGUGGACGCCAGUCUGCAUGGAGCCGACCUUGAAAUACCACCCUUUAAUGUUUGAUGUUCUAACGUUGACCCGUAAUCCGGGUUGCGGACAGUGUCUGGUGGGUAGUUUGACUGGGGCGGUCUCCUCCUAAAGAGUAACGGAGGAGCACGAAGGUUGGCUAAUCCUGGUCGGACAUCAGGAGGUUAGUGCAAUGGCAUAAGCCAGCUUGACUGCGAGCGUGACGGCGCGAGCAGGUGCGAAAGCAGGUCAUAGUGAUCCGGUGGUUCUGAAUGGAAGGGCCAUCGCUCAACGGAUAAAAGGUACUCCGGGGAUAACAGGCUGAUACCGCCCAAGAGUUCAUAUCGACGGCGGUGUUUGGCACCUCGAUGUCGGCUCAUCACAUCCUGGGGCUGAAGUAGGUCCCAAGGGUAUGGCUGUUCGCCAUUUAAAGUGGUACGCGAGCUGGGUUUAGAACGUCGUGAGACAGUUCGGUCCCUAUCUGCCGUGGGCGCUGGAGAACUGAGGGGGGCUGCUCCUAGUACGAGAGGACCGGAGUGGACGCAUCACUGGUGUUCGGGUUGUCAUGCCAAUGGCACUGCCCGGUAGCUAAAUGCGGAAGAGAUAAGUGCUGAAAGCAUCUAAGCACGAAACUUGCCCCGAGAUGAGUUCUCCCUGACUCCUUGAGAGUCCUGAAGGAACGUUGAAGACGACGACGUUGAUAGGCCGGGUGUGUAAGCGCAGCGAUGCGUUGAGCUAACCGGUACUAAUGAGCCGUGAGGCUUAACCUU
rnacentral:rRNA from 1 species